rnacentral:tRNA from 1 species
UGGGGUAUCGCCAAAUGGUAAGGCAUGGGAUUUUGGCUCCCACACUUCCCGGUUCGAAUCCGGGUACCCUAG